rnacentral:lncRNA from 1 species
GGGUCCCCUAUAGGGUUCAUCCCACCCCCACAAUGGAAAGGGGCCAAGGUACCUUCCAUACGGCCCUAUAGGAGCCUGGGGUCCCCUAUAGGGUCAUCCCACCCCCAACAAUGGAAGGGAGAUCCGUAUGGGGACAGCACCUCCAUACGGCCCUAUAGGAGCCUGGGGUCCCCUUUGGGGUCAUUCCCCCCCCCCCCCAAUGGUAAGGGAGAAUUCCUUAUAGGGGGGCAGCAACCUCCAUACUGGCCCAUAUAAGAGCCUGGCGGUCCCCUUAUUAGGGUCAUCCCCCCCCACAAUGGAAGGGAGAUUCCUAUGGGGGGGGGCAGCACCUCCAUACGGCCCUAUAGGAGCCUGGGGGUCCCCUAUAGGGUCAUCCAUCCCCCCCAAUGGAAGGGGCCAGCAGCUCUAUCCGGCCCUAUAAGAGCCUUGGGGUCCCCCUUUUAGGGUCAU